rnacentral:lncRNA from 1 species
AUAUCUCACGAGGUUUGGUGUCCUUAAUUCCAAACGGUUUCUUGAUCUUGAAGGACUUCAGGCAACCUGAAAGGAGCCCUUGGAUCAGGGACAUUGCACACCUCCACUGCUGUGGGAAACCAUAGAAGAGUACAGACAAGUCUGUGGUUAAACCAGUGGCCAGAGCUUGAUUAAUUCCAUACAGUCCACAAAAUGAGAACUCAAACACCAUGGAAAUUGGCAAAGUACCUUUGGUUACCAGAAAGAACAAGAGAGGCACGAAGUCAUAGUCCAUGUGCUUGAAGGAUCUUAAGGCCUUAAGGCACUGAUGUGCCCUCAUCUGCAAAGCUGACAAAGAAAGAGCCAUGGGAACCUCAGAGCAGUCAGGGUGACUUCAGGAAGGGGCAUGGGUGGGAGGCUUAAGAGACGGCACAGGGCAUGGGCAGGAGGUGGGGCAGGUCUGUGCACGCCCAGGAGGGGAUUUGGCCUUGGCUCAGGAUGUCAUAAAGAGCUCGUGAAGACCAUGGCAGUGCCGGAAAGAAUGGGCACUGGAGAAGCUCUUUGGCAGUGAUGAUUUGACUUCGAGAGCACCAGUAUUACCACAAGAGUUAAAAUCCACCUUAUGAAAGUGGAGCGUUGUUAUUAUUUGCGGUUAACACAGAGUAAAGAGCACUUUCUUAAAAUGUUCAUCCAUUGGUCCGGAAAUGAAACCUAAUGCCCUAUCAAAACCCCUGUGCACCAUAACUAAUCCUUAGGCUGAUCAUUCACGGAGCACUGAUUAUUGUUUUUGCAUAAUUUGGACAUUAAUGUAGAAUACUAGUCCUGCUUUACUUUAAUAGAAAAGACCACUGCAGUCUUCCCUCUGUCAUGUUAUUCAAUAUCCUACAGUUUUCUCUUAUUAUUUUCGAUGCUCAGUUUUCCUAAGGAGUCAGAGCUUAGCUGCA